UACGAAGGGGGCUAGCGUUGCUCGGAAUCACUGGGCGUAAAGCGCACGUAGGCGGAUCUUUAAGUCAGGGGUGAAAUCCUGGAGCUCAACUCCAGAACUGCCUUUGAUACUGAGAAGCUUGAGUCCGGGAGAGGUGAGUGGAACUGCGAGUGUAGAGGUGAAAUUCGUAGAUAUUCGCAAGAACACCAGUGGCGAAGGCGGCUCACUGGCCCGGUACUGACGCUGAGGUGCGAAAGCGUGGGGAGCAAACAGGG
rnacentral:rRNA from 1 species